rnacentral:rRNA from 1 species
AAAAGCUCGUAGUUGGAUUUUGCAGGAGGGCGCACGACCGGGCUUUGCUCAGGCCGCGCGCCUACCUGUUUUUUGUCGGGGACUACGCCACUCUUAACUGGGGGGCGCUAGGACGCGGCUCGUUUACUUUGAAAAAAUUAGAGUGUUCAAAGCAGGCCUUUGCUUGAAUACAUUAGCAUGGAAUAAUGGAAUAGGACUUUGGUUCUAUUUUGUUGGUUUCUGGAACCGAAGUAAUGAUUAAUAGGGAUAGUUGGGGGCGUUUAUAUUUCCAUGUCAGAGGUGAAAUUCUUGGAUUUUGGAAAGAUAAACUUCUGCGAAAGCAUUCGCCAAGGAUGUUUUCAUUAAUCAAGAACGAAAGUUAGGGGAUCGAAGACGAUCAGAUACCGUCGUAGUCUUAACCAUAAACUGUGCCGACUAGGGAUCAGUGGACGUUAUUUUAUGACUCCAUUGGCACCUUGUGAGAAAUCAAAGUUUUUGGGUUCCGGGGGGAGUAUGGUCGCAAGGCUGAAACUUAAAGGAAUUGACGGAAGGGCACCACCAGGAGUGGAGCCUGCGGCUUAAUUUGACUCAACACGGGGAAACUUACCAGGUCCAGACAUAGUAAGGAUUGACAGAUUGAAAGCUCUUUCCUUGAUUCUAUGGGUGGUGGUGCAUGGCCGUUCUUAGUUGG